GAUGAGAAAGGCGCUCAUAGGGUAAAUAGGUAAAGAUGAAACAGCGUUCUUCAAUUUAAGGUGAAUAUGUGCUGCUCACCUGUUUAGGUUGCACCGAUUGGGUGCAACCGUGAUGAAGGUCCGCUGGAUUAGCUAGGUAUCAGGUUGGAGCUGCUGUGUCCAAAAGAACCAAGGGCGAGGGCCAAGUCGCCACUUCGUUAAUUACUAGAAAUACUGACGGUGCCGGUCACGACUUUUGUGGUCUGGCGAGCUGGUGGACGUGAGGCGCAAAUCACAACCGGAUUUGACAAGUACGGGUUUAUUGAGAGACAACGCGUUUCGGGGUGCGCAUGACCCCUUUAUCAAGUCUGAGUUGAAUUGUGAGUUUG